rnacentral:rRNA from 1 species
UACGGAGGGUGCAAGCGUUGUCCGGAUUUAUUGGGUUUAAAGGGCGCGUAGGUGGUUUGAUAAGGGUGUGGUGAAAGCCCGGAGCUCAACUCCGGGUCUGCCGUGCCGACUGUCAAACUCGAGGGCUGUAGAGGCAGACGGAAUUCCGGGUGUAGCGGUGGAAUGCGUAGAGAUCCGGAGGAAGACCGGUGGCGAAGGCGGUCUGCUGGGCAGUUUCUGACACUGAGGCGCGACAGCGUGGGGAGCAAACAGG